AAACGCUACGUAACGGCAUGAAAGUUUUUUUUUUUUUUUUUUUUUUUUUUUUUUUUUUUUUUUUU
rnacentral:ribozyme from 1 species